AUUGAACGCUGGCGGCAGGCUUAACACAUGCAAGUCGAGCGAGCGGCGGACGGGUGAGUAAUGUCUGGGAAACUGCCUGAUGGAGGGGGAUAACUACUGGAAACGGUAGCUAAUACCGCAUACCAUCAGAUGUGCCCAGAUGGGAUUAGCUAGUAGGUGGGGUAAUGGCUCACCUAGGCGACGCUCCCUAGCUGGUCUGAGAGGAUGACAAGCCAAACUGGAAACGAGACAAGGUACAGACUCCGACGGGAGGCAGCAGUGGGGAAUAUUGCACAAUGGGCGAAAGCAGGAUGCAGCCAUGCCGCGGGUGUGAAGAAGGCCUUCGGGUUGUAAAGCACUGUCAGCGAGGAGGCGUUACUCGCAGAAGAAGCACCGGCUAACUCCGUGCCAGCAGCCGCGGUAAUAC
rnacentral:rRNA from 1 species